rnacentral:rRNA from 1 species
CCUACGGGUGGCUGCAGUGGGGAAUAUUGCACAAUGGGCGCAAGCCUGAUGCAGCCAUGCCGCGUGUGUGAAGAAGGCCUUCGGGUUGUAAAGCACUUUCAGCGGGGAGGAAGGCGUUAAGGUUAAUAACCUUGCCGAUUGACGUUACCCGCAGAAGAAGCACCGGCUAACUCCGUGCCAGCAGCCGCGGUAAUACGGAGGGUGCAAGCGUUAAUCGGAAUUACUGGGCGUAAAGCGCACGCAGGCGGUCUGUCAAGUCGGAUGUGAAAUCCCCGGGCUCAACCUGGGAACUGCAUUCGGAAACUGGCAGGCUAGAGUCUUGUAGAGGGGAGUAGAAUUCCAGGUGUAGCGGUGAAAUGCGUAGAGAUCUGGAGGAAUACCGGUGGCGAAGGCGGCCCCCUGGACAAAGACUGACGCUCAGGUGCGAAAGCGUGGGGAGCAAACAGGAUUAGAUACCCGAGUAGUC